AAUAUGAAGAAAAAGUUAUGUGUUUAAAUAAUGUAUUAAAAGUUUUUUUUUUUUCGUAAUCUUAUGAUUUAUGCACGUCAACUAUGGAUUAAAAUAAGGCUUAUGUGCAUAUCUUUUUCUUGCAAUUGUUUUCUUUUGCUAUUUAAUAGUAAUUAUAAAGUGAGAAAUGUUCUUCUACUUUUGCAAAGGAAAUUAGUGUGUUGAAUUUGUUUUGUAAAACAAAUUUAUUUGUACAAUGUUCUGACUAAUAAUGUUUUUAUAUGUUGCUAAUUAUUUCUUCAGUAACCGGAAAGGAUAUCACGCAGGAAUAUGUUUGACAUGGUGACUAGUAUGUAUCACAUUAAUUCUGUUUUUCUGGAAAUUAUCUCUCACAUAAGUUUUAUGAAAACUGGUAUGUGUAGGUUCAGUAUAUUUGCUUGUUAGUUACUUAUAGUGGUUACAAGAAGUAAUUCAUUUGGAGAGGAAGGGAAGGAAGUAACACGCAUUAGACACACACAUAUGUAUAAUAUACUGUUUAUGUAUAUACGUGCAUUGGGAGAUGCACUUACUCAUAUGUUAAAAAUGGGAUCACGCAACCUCCUUAAGUCUUGAAGUACUUUUUAAGUUACGCUAAAGAUGACACCAUAUUUUUUUAAAGUGCUCUUUAGAAAAUAUGCUACACUCCUCACUGACAAAUAACGUAUAUGAACUAUGUAGUCGAAUAAGAAAUGAUUGUAGAGUGAAGAAAAAUAGUGAUUUUUGAAAAGGUUCGAACUUUUCUUAUAUGAAGAUAAAGAAGCUUAAUUAAAAAUGAAAAGCUACAUGAAAGAUUUCCCAUAAAUAUUAGUAGAAGAAAUAGUAAGAUAUCCAGUUUUUUGAUAUUAUUA